rnacentral:rRNA from 1 species
AGAGUUUGAUCCUGGCUCAGAUUGAACGCUGGCGGCAUGCCUUACACAUGCAAGUCGAACGGCAGCACCGGAGCAAUCCUGGUGGCGAGUGGCGAACGGGUGAGUAAUACAUCGGAACGUGCCCAGUUGUGGGGGAUAGCCCGGCGAAAGCCGGAUUAAUACCGCAUACGACCUACGGGUGAAAGCGGGGGAUCGCAAGACCUCGCGCAAUUGGAGCGGCCGAUGGCAGAUUAGCUUGUUGGUGGGGUAAAAGCCUACCAAGGCGACGAUCUGUAGCUGGUCUGAGAGGACGACCAGCCACACUGGGACUGAGACACGGCCCAGACUCCUACGGGAGGCAGCAGUGGGGAAUUUUGGACAAUGGGCGCAAGCCUGAUCCAGCCAUGCCGCGUGUGGGAAGAAGGCCUUCGGGUUGUAAACCACUUUUGUCAGGGAAGAAACGGUCUGAUCUAAUAAAUCGGACUAAUGACGGUACCUGAAGAAUAAGCACCGGCUAACUACGUGCCAGCAGCCGCGGUAAUACGUAGGGUGCAAGCGUUAAUCGGAAUUACUGGGCGUAAAGCGUGCGCAGGCGGCUAUGCAAGACAGAUGUGAAAUCCCCGGGCUCAACCUGGGAACUGCAUUUGUGACUGCAUGGCUAGAGUACGGCAGAGGGGGAUGGAAUUCCGCGUGUAGCAGUGAAAUGCGUAGAUAUGCGGAGGAACACCGAUGGCGAAGGCAAUCCCCUGGGCCUGUACUGACGCUCAUGCACGAAAGCGUGGGGAGCAAACAGGAUUAGAUACCCUGGUAGUCCACGCCCUAAACGAUGUCAACUGGUUGUUGGACGGCUUGCUGUUCAGUAACGAAGCUAACGCGUGAAGUUGACCGCCUGGGGAGUACGGCCGCAAGGUUGAAACUAAAGGAAUUGACGGGGACCCGCACAAGCGGUGGAUGAUGUGGUUUAAUUCGAUGCAACGCGAAAAACCUUACCUACCCUUGACAUGUCUAGAAGUUUCCAGAGAUGGAUUCGUGCUCGAAAGAGAACUAGAACGCAGGUGCUGCAUGGCCGUCGUCAGCUCGUGUCGUGAGAUGUUGGGUUAAGUCCCGCAACGAGCGCAACCCUUAUCAUUAGUUGCUACGCAAGGGCACUCUAAUGAGACUGCCGGUGACAAACCGGAGGAAGGUGGGGAUGACGUCAGGUCAUCAUGGCCCUUAUGGGUAGGGCUACGCACGUCAUACAAUGGCCGGUACAGAGGGCUGCCAACUCGCGAGAGGGAGCUAAUCUCAGAAAACCGGUCGUAGUCCGGAUCGCAGUCUGCAACUCGACUGCGUGAAGUCGGAAUCGCUAGUAAUCGCGGAUCAGCUUGCCGCGGUGAAUACGUUCCCGGGUCUUGUACACACCGCCCGUCACACCAUGGGAGCGGGUUCUGCCAGAAGUAGUUAGCCUAACCGCAAGGAGGGCGAUUACCACGGCAGGGUUCGUGACUGGGGUGAAGUCGUAACAAGGUA